rnacentral:rRNA from 1 species
UUCUUGGAUACCGUAGUAAUUCUUGAAGCUAAUACAUGCGCAAAUCCCGACUUCUGGAAGGGACGUAUUUAUUAGAUAAAAGGCCAGCCGGACUUCGGUCCGUCCUGUGUUGAAUCAUGAUAACUUCACGAAUCGCAUGGCCUCGUGCCGGCGAUGUUUCAUUCAAAUAUCUGCCCUAUCAACUUUCGACGGUAGGAUAGAGGCCUACCGUGGUUUUUACGGGUGACGGNGGAUCAGGGUUCGAUUCCGGAGAGGGAGCCUGAGAAACGGCUACCACAUCCAAGGAAGGCAGCAGGCGCGUAAAUUGCCCAAUCCCGACACGGGGAGGCAGUGACAAUAAAUAACAAUACCCGGGCAUUCAAUGUCUGGUAAUUGGGGAUGAGUACAAUCUAAAUCUCUUAACGAGGAUCCAUUGGGAG